rnacentral:rRNA from 1 species
AUCGCCAGGGAAUUACGAGCCCCUUAAAACCCAAAGGACUUGACGGUGUCCCACCCACCUAGAGGAGCCUGUUCUAUAAUCGACACCCCACGAUAUACCCCACCACCCCUAGCACCCUCAGUCUGUAUACCUCCGUCGCAAGCUUACCAUGUGAACGUUAUCAGUGAGCUAAAAGGUUCUUCACCUAAACGUCAGGUCAAGGUGCAACUAACGGAUUGGAAAGUAAUGGGCUACAAUUUCUACCAUAGAACAUACGAAAAACUGAAUGAAACACAGUCACGAAGGCGGAUUUAGAAGUAAAAAGAAGCCAGAAAAUUCUUUUUAACUAGGCCCUGGGACGCGUACACACCGCCCGUCACCCUCCUCAAUCCCUAAAUAAGAGGAGGCAAGUCGUAACAUGGUAAGUGUACUGGAAAGUGCACUUGGACAAUCAAAAUAUAGCUUAAUUAAAGCAUCUCGCUUACACCGGGAUAGAUGUUAAUAAACCUUAACUACUUUGAGCCUAAAUCUUAGCCCCAUUCUUUACCCACCCCCUCCCACAAACUAACAAAACAUUUUUUUAUUUAGUAACGGCGAUUAAAAAAU